GUACACACACAAAAAAUUACUCCAUCUUUCUUCUUAAAGACAUACUCACACUAGCACACAAAAGACGCUCCAUUUUUUUUCUCUUCCCUUCUCCGUAUAAACACACAUCACAACGGAGAAGAACAAGACACAGAUCACAACACUCCAAUUUCCAUCUUCCUUCAUUUUUUUUUUCAACACUACAAAAACUCCAUUUUUCUCUUCCCUUCUUCUCCGUAUAGACUACAUUCACAAACACACAUAAAAAAAAAAUCUCCAAAUCCCGCCAGCCACCACUGUCAAACCAGAUUCGACGACCUCCCCGACAAACACACUCCAGAUCCGGUAGCUCGCUACCACCACUGAAAGUAAUAUUAUAUUAUUUAAUUUUAUUUGUGAUUUUAUUUUCUCUGAGAUAUAUUGAUAUUAUUUUAUUUAUGCUAUAAUACCGGACCAAUGAUAUUGUCUUUCCGUCGAUAUUUGAGGACACCUCAUUAUAAAAGACAGAUUUUAUUUAUCAAAUUAUUAUUUG
rnacentral:lncRNA from 1 species